CCUGCUCUUAAGCAGACGUGCACAGAAAACCCUGAAAGACUUAGACAGCUCACAGCAUGUACAGUCAUGAUCCUUUCUCGCAGGGGAUCUUGGAGAACCAGCUGGGUGUUUGACAGUUUAUAUGUUGUCCUUGG